GUGCUCUCUUUGGCAGCACAUACACUAAAAUGGGAACGAUACAGAGAAGAUUAGCAUGGCACCUGCGCAAGGAUGACACGAAAAUUCGUGAAGCAUUCCACAUUUAA
ensembl:snRNA U6 U6 spliceosomal RNA